UGGCUCAGUCGGUAGAGCAUGGCGCUUGCAACGCCAAGCGUCGUGGGUUCGAUUCCCGC
rnacentral:tRNA from 1 species